rnacentral:rRNA from 1 species
AAACCAACAGGGAUUGCCUUAGUAGCGGCGAGUGAAGCGGCAAGAGCUCAAAUUUGAAAUCUGGUACCUUCGGUGCCCGAGUUGUAAUUUGAAGAAAGCUAUCUUGGAGGUGGCCUUUGUCUAUGUUCCUUGGAACAGGACGUCAUGGAGGGUGAGAAUCCCGUGUGAUGAGGUGUCCAUUUCCGUGUAAGAUGCUUUCGAAGAGUCGAGUUGUUUGGGAAUGCAGCUCAAAGUGGGUGGUAAAUUCCAUCUAAAGCUAAAUAUUGGCGAGAGACCGAUAGCGAACAAGUACUGUGAAGGAAAGAUGAAAAGAACUUUGAAAAGAGAGUGAAAAAGUACGUGAAAUUGUUGAAAGGGAAGGGUAUUUGAUCAGACUUGGUAUUUAGCUAUCAUCGCUCCUUGUGGGUGGUGCUCUAGCUUUUUACUGGGCCAGCAUCAGUUUUGGUGGCAAGAUAAUGACAGUUGAAUGUGGCUCCUCGGAGUGUUAUAGCUUCUGUUGAUGUUGCCUACCGAGACUGAGGUCUGCGGCUUUUGCAUAGGAUGCUGGCGUAAUGAUCCAAUACCGC